GAUGAACGCUGGCGGCGUGCCUAAUACAUGCAAGUCGAGCGAACAGAUAAGGAGCUUGCUCCUUUGACGUUAGCGGCGGACGGGUGAGUUACACGUGGAUAACCUACCUAUAAGACUGGGAUAACUUCGGGAAACCGGAGCUAAUACCGGAUAACAUAUUGAACCGCAUGGUUCAAUAGUGAAAGGCGGCUUUGCUGUCACUUAUAGAUGGAUCCGCGCCGGAUUAGCUAGUUGGUAAGGUAACGGCUUACCAAGGCGACGAUCCGUAGCCGACCUGAGAGGGUGAUCGGCCACACUGGAACUGAGACACGGUCCAGACUCCUACGGGAGGCAGCAGUAGGGAAUCUUCGGCAAUGGGCGAAAGCCUGACGGAGCAACGCCGCGUGAGUGAUGAAGGUCUUCGGAUCGUAAAACUCUGUUAUCAGGGAAGAACAAAUGUGUAAGUAACUGUGCACAUCUUGACGGUACCUGAUCAGAAAGCCACGGCUAACUACGUG
rnacentral:rRNA from 1 species